rnacentral:rRNA from 1 species
AACGAACGCUGGCGGCAGGCUUAACACAUGCAAGUCGAACGCAUCGCAAGAUGAGUGGCAGACGGGUGAGUAACGCGUGGGAACAUACCCUUUUCUACGGAAUAGCUCUGGGAAACUGGAAUUAAUACCGUAUACGCCCUACGGGGGAAAGAUUUAUCGGGGAAGGAUUGGCCCGCGUUGGAUUAGCUAGUUGGUGGGGUAAAGGCCUACCAAGGCGACGAUCCAUAGCUGGUCUGAGAGGAUGAUCAGCCAAAUUGGGACUGAGACACGGCCCAAACUCCUACGUGAGGCAGCAGUGGGGAAUAUUGAACAAUGGGCGCAAGCCUGAUCCAGCCAUGCCGCGUGAGUGAUGAAGGCCUUAGGGUUGUAAAGCUCUUUCACCGAUGAAGAUAAUGACGGUAGUCGGAGAAGAAGCCCCGGCUAACUUCGUGCCAGCCGCCGCAGUAAUAC